GGGCGCUUUGUGCAAGAGGGUGUGUGUGUGUGUGUGUGUGUGUGUGACAAGACAGUCCUGCACAUUCUUACAGGGAACUCCUCCCACAGAGAAAGAAAUAUAGAGGAGGAGCUGUGUACUGAGGUGAAGAAGGAGAACAGAGAAAAACAGUAGGGGCAGGAAUAAUGAAUUCACGUGAGAAACACACACACACAAAGAGAGAGAGAGAGAGAGAGAGAGAGAGAGAGAGAGAGAGAGAGAGAGAGAGAGAGAGAGAGGGGAACGAGUGUACCUCUUCCUCCUCCUCCAUGUCCCACUCAUCUGGGUGAAAGGUAACAAUUUCUGGGUGAGACGCACAAUACACAAAAGCACAACAGUUCGUGUUCUCUCUCUCUCUCUCUCUCUGUGUGUGUGUGUGUGUGUCUCUGUCUGUGUCUCUCGCCCACUCUCUCUCUCCUCCAUGCUGUGUUCACCAAACAAAUCCUGACAGAUUAACCAGGCAAGAGACGCACAACAAAAGCUCAUUUGCAUCGAGCUGAAGGGAAUCUCAUGCUGACACACUCUCACGCUCUCUCCCUCCCUCUCUCACUCUCUCACACACACACAGAAAACAUGCACAAACUCUAUAAUACAUGCUGCAUGGGUUACUUCAUUGCAGUGUCCAUCAUGUUGACUGAAAAGAAAUAUCCCCUUAUCCUUUCUUAUCUCCUUUCACCUUUACCCUCAUUGUCUUUCUUCCUUUGUUGUUCCUUUGCUACACCUCUAUGCUUUUCUUAAUAAAAAAGAAGCAAAAAAGCAAAAAAGCAAACAACAACAACAACAACAACUGUAUGGGUGAGUUCCUCCUAGAGAGCUCCUGCACACUUAAGUUUCUAGAUCUACAAGCUCUUGCUCAUGUCCCGGAGUCUCAAAGCUCCUGAUUUGGUCCUGAAAUUUCAAGCUCCUGCUCCUGUUGCUAAACUCCUGCUCCAGUGUUGAUGUCUAUAAGGUCCUGCUCCUGUCCUCAAGUUUACAAGUUCCUACUCCUGGUGUUUCAAAGCUCCUGUCCUGAAGUCUCAAAGCUGUUUCACAUGAUGUUUCAAAGUUCUGCUCCGGAAUUUGCCAUGUUCCUGCUCCUGUUUUGAGGUCUAAAAGCUUUUGCUCCCGCCCUCAAGUUGCUAAGAUCCUGCUCCUCUCCUGAGGUCUACAAGUUACUUCUCCUCUCUCUCCUGAAGUCUACAAGUUACUUCUCCUCUUUCUCUUGAGGUCUACAAGUUACUUCUCCUCUUUCUCUUGAGGUCUACAAGUUAAUUCUCCUCUUUCUCUUGAGGUCUACAAGUUACUUCUCCUCUCCGGAGGUCUACAAGUUCCUGUUCUUGUCAUGAGGUCUACAAGGCCGUCCUCGUAGGCGUCACCCAUUGUACUAUGACCAGGGUCUGAUAGUUCAGUAUGUUUGAUUGGGCAUGAGGUCAGUAAUUGGUUGUGGAUGAGCUCAUAAUUGAAUUUUUAUUAAUUUUACUUCAGUGUCACUCAGUACUGACAAACCGAGUCAGAGUGGAACCCCAAAUUCUCACCGGAUGGGUCACGGUAAUGGUGCGUAGCAACCAUCUGUUUAACACACACACACACACACACACACACACACACACACACACACACACACACUCCACACUCCACACUCCUGGCACAAGAGACUUCAGUUUUAACUGAAAAACUAACACACAACCGUAUUGUAUAAAAAUUUCACUGUGGUGAUAACCUACAGUCACGAUCAUAAUGUGCAACAAAUAUGUGCAUAAGGGUUUAAAAGAUGGUGUGUGUGUGUGUGUGUUCACCUGAGUUCUCCAUAUAUUCAAUAGAAACCAUGAACCUCUGACUAUGUGAUGUAAAAAUAACUGCUGCUGUUGGCCAAAGGAGUGUCUGUUAUUGCCAAUGUUUUUCCUCCUAAAUCCAUCCUGAGGAGCUCCUCCUCGCUCUUAACCUCUGGACGUACGUGUGUGUGUGUGUGUGUGUGUGUGUGUGUGUGCGCGUAAGUAAACCCAGCGCCAAGCACAACAGGCCAUACUGUUCCUUUGGCUCAGGAGUAAGUUUACAAAUCACACCAGAACAUUUUGUUUUGCUACUGUUCUUCAAUCAUUAUGUGUGUGUGGUUUUUUGAGAGUCCAGGUAAAAUGCAAACUGAAAAAUAAAAGUUAAUGAUCGGUGUGUGUUUGUGCUGAUUUUAUUAUAGAAUACAUUAUGCAAUGCUCUGUGAGCCGUGUGUGCGUGUGUGUGUGUGUGAUUGCACUCAGCCACAUGCCGAACUAGCGCUGUAGCACAAAAUUACAGGCAACUCCUACACAAUAAAACUGCUCACUACAGGCAGUCGAAAUAAAUUUAAACAACGUGUGUGUCUAUCUAACACACACACACACACACACACACACACACACACACACACCUUACCGUAAGCAUAUACAAAAUGCAUAGUGUAGGUGCAGAACCUAUAGACAUGUGUGGUGGAGUGUGAUAAGGCUUCUAAAGUCAAUGUUGAACAACCACAAGCACCUCUGCAUUCUCUCUCUCUCUCUCUCUCUCUCUCACACACACACAUACACACACACGAGAUUUUUCCAUUAGUACGUCAAUUAAACUGAACCAAAAACACACACACAAAAAGCAAUUACUGCAGGUUAUUAUUGCAUGCAUGAUAGUCAGCUAACUACUGAUGACUGAGCUAGCUAAAUAGAAAAUAAAAGGUAUUAUUUAAAAUAAAUAAAUAAAUCAAACAAAAAUCUAAAUAAACAGUAUAUUUCGACAAAAAGGGUUCAGUCCUUAACCCUUUCAGCUGUGAACUCAGUCUCAGAUUGCUAACUCUAAAGACGCCUCACACUUAAAACAUACACUCACUUAAACAUAAAUAAACAGUGUGGACCAUAAUUGGUGUGUGUGUGUGUGUGUGUGUGUGUGUGUAAAUAGUGGUGUAAAAAUACUCAGACGAGAUGAUUGAGAUCACUGAGGUGCUCGUUUGCCUUGUUUAGAUCCAGCACACUGCACUGCUAUUUAAAUCCAUGCUAACUGUUCUCAGUAUGGUUAGCAGUCGACGCUAAGUGUAAUUAAAGUGUAACUCGAGUCUUUUCUAAGCAAUCUAACACCACAUCUGAGGUAAACGUUGAUAUUUCCGACUGUACUGUGUUAUUUUUGCUGUCGCUGUGUUUAUACGUUGGCUAUAUUUGAUUUAAAAGAAGAUUGAAUAACAGUCUAUGCUAGCUAGCUAAAUGACAAGCCAGAUUAUGCUUUGUAUCCAUAUUUCUCAGUUGCCCAGCAACAGUGCUCUCAUGACUUUAAUCACCUGAACAGCUCACUUAGCAGUGAAAAUAAUGACCAUGUCAGAUCAUAGGUUUGUUUCUGUGUCAUAGUCUUUUAUCUGGUGGAAAAAAAAAACAAAACCCAAACACAACAUUUCUUUUUAAACCCACACUGUGUUUAUGAGCUUGUGGAAAAAUAAAAUGACUUCAUGUCCUACUGUUACUCAGAUUAUAUAUUUCAUACAUAUUCAAUUUUCAGGCCACGGAAUCUUUUAUCCAAUCUCGUACCAUAGCUUGUGAUAAUGCAAUAUUUAUUUAAAAAAUAAUUACAUCUAUAGCUGUAAAGGGUGUAAUGGGAGACGCAUGAACCUUUGCAGUGACUCAGAAUUUAUUUUAUCACGUCAUCCUUGCUAGCUGGUUAGUUUCUCAGCUUAGUUUCUCGGCUAAAAUAGUUAGCUACCGGUUUAAUCAUGAGUAUUGCUAAAUGUGACCAUUGGUGAAAAAAGUAAUAAAUAAAAAAUGUAUUUAAAAUGUUUUUUGUUUUUUUUAAACAUCAGUCAGAUCAGCAGAAAUGUUUUACUUAAUAUUCAUGCUAGUCAUUGAUGCUAACCUGUUUUACUAAGCAUUCAUGCUAGCCAGUUCAUGGUGGUCAAUUUUACUCAGCAUUCAUGCUAGUCAUUCAUGCUAGCUAGUUUUACUCAGCAGUCAUGCUAGUGUCAUACUCAGCAGUCAUGCUAGUCAUUCAUGCUAGCUAGUUUUACUCAGCAUUCAAGUUUGCUCCUUUAGUUGUGGCCGAUCGGCUACAUUUGGGUUAAAGUUCUAUAUCUGAUCCCUGAUUAACUUCUCCCUUUAACACAGUGCUCUCUCACAUCAGAUAAAUAUGCUCACAUUGCUAGUCAAAUCGGCAUGCAAAGUUUGCAGUGAUGUAAUCGGAGUGCAGAUUUGUUCAGAGAGCUUCACAAGGCCUGAACAAGUGUGUCGAAAACCUCACAUAGUGUGUAAGAGUGUGUGUCGACAUGUAGCCAGUUCUGUGGUUCACAGUAACAUAAGGUACAUCAUGUCUCUCCAUGUGCUGACAGAAUGUCCGUUAUUAAUCCUGGAUAGUUUCACUAACGUUCAUGCUCGUCAUUAACCCUGGCUAGUUUUUCCUCAGCUUUCAUGCUGGUCAUUUUUAUUUUACUGUUUUUUUUUUCUUCACCAAAUUGAAUCCAAUCAUUCAAAUCAUUUCAAAAACUCGAUUUCAGUCAAAUUAAAAAAUAAAUAAAACAAACAAACCGAGUCACUUUAUUGAACUGAAUCAUUCUAAAUUUGGAAAACUUGUUUUCAGUUGAAUAAAAAAAAAAAAAUGACUGCGUUGAAUCAUUCUAAAUUUAUAAAACCUUCAUUCAUCAUAAUUUUUAAAAAUUCAAAAAUGUACAAAAUUCGCUGAAUCAAAUGACAGCUGAAUCAGUUUUGAAUUAAACCGAAUCAUAAUAAAUAUAGACAACUUGCUUUCAUCUGGAAUCCUGGACCAUGGAACUGAAUCGCUUUUUAGAGAUUCGGAUUGAACUGAACUUGGCUUCCGUUGUGUUGAAAACCAACAAGUCAUGAAUCAAAUAAUUUUCAGUUGAAUCAAAAACCAGUUGAUUCAGUUCUCAGUCAGAGUAAUUAGUCCACAUUAACUCUGUAGAAUUUGUUUGGGGAAAAAGCACCACCAUGACAGGAUUCUAUGGAGUCACCUAUAGGAAUGAAUAUGAGUGCUCUCUAGCUGUCAUGAGAGAGAGAGAGAGAGAGAGAGAGAGAGAGAGAGAGAGAGAGAUGUCGUGUCCUCGGAUAACUGCUGUGGAUCAGUAUGAUGUCAUCGCUCUGUCGAUGGAAAGCAGAGCAGCAGUACCGCAGUGCUCCUUUUUUUUCCUCUCCCUCCUCCUCAAACACGAUCACGAUGCAACACACAACUACAUCACGCAGUGUUUACUCUUUUUCAUAGGCUGUCCAUCAAACAAGGGGGCGGGGUAAUAAACAGG
ensembl:lncRNA